CCCUUAGAUGUUCUGGGCCGCACACGCGCUACACUGAAGGAGGCAGCGUGUACUCCUGGAUCGAAAGAUUUGGGUAACCCGCGAAUCUCCUUCGUGCUAGGGAUUGAGGUUUGCAAUUAUCCUUCAUGAACGAGGAAUGCCUAGUAAGCGCAAGUCAUCAGCUUGCGUUGAUUACGUCCCUGCCCUUUGUACACACCGCCCGUCGCUCCUACCGAUUGAAUGGUCCGGUGAAGCGUUCGGACCGUGGCCUUUGGACGGUUCGCCGUCUGUUGGCUGCGGGAAGUUCGUUAAACCUUAUCAUUUAGAGGAAGGAGAANUCGUAACA
rnacentral:rRNA from 1 species